rnacentral:lncRNA from 1 species
CAAAAAAUCUUAGUUGUUCUUCAUCUUUUCAAGUCUUUUGAAGUCUAUAUUGGUGUUCGAUCUUCAAGAUUUGGUAUUUGUUCUUCGCACCUUCAAAGAUUCAUCAAAAUUUCAAGGUUUUGGAGGCCUAUUUUGAUGUUUGAUCUUCAAGAUUUGGUGUUUGUUCUUCACACCUUCAAAGAUUCAUCAAAACUUCAAGGUUUUGAAGGCCUAUUUUGGUGUUUGAUCUUCAAGAUUUGGUGUUUGUUCUUCAAAGUUUCAUCAAGAUUUCAAACUUUCAGAGGCAUCUUUUGGUGUAUGAUCUUCAAGAUUUAGGUGUUUGUCAAUGGCUGAGAAUCACUCUAUUACUGAGGAGAGGGCAAAAUGGUUGGCUGCUCGAGCUUAAAAAAGAGGUAAGGAUUUCCGUCCCCCUAUCGUUCUUGAUCAUCCAGUUACUUCUUUAUUCGAAUUGCU